AAGUUCGUUUUGAGGGUGGGGGAAGGGCAGCUGAGGUAACGGGGCUGCCCCUUUCCCUCAGAAGAAAGCGAGCCGGGGAAACACUGAAACUGUUUAAGUCAUUUUGGAACAAAUAUUGUAUGGAUUUGGAUUUGAUAUCCCGCUUUAUCACUACCCAAAGGAGUCUCAAAGCGGCUAACACUCUCCUUUCCCUUCCUCCCCCACAACAAACACUCUGUGAGGUGAGUGAGGCUGAGAGACUUCAGAGAAGUGUGACUGGCCCAAGGUCACCCAGCGGCUGCAUGUGGAGGAGCAGGGAAUCGAACCCGGUUCACCAGAUUACGAGUCCACCGCUCUUAACCACUACACCACACUGGCUUUCCAAGGAAGCCAUGACUACAGAGUCAUAAUGCCUGGAAGUUGGGCAUGUAGGAGGAGCUGGGACAGUCAUUUAAAACCAGAAUGAAGAUAUUGCUUGUGUAAAAAUAUAUUUAAGGUUUGGGGGUAGGCGGGUUCAGAAAGGGGAUUGAUAAGUGUCCAUUAAAGAAAGGGGAGCGAGAUUUGGGGAUGGAAUCACAACAGUUGAUGCUGAAAACAGAGAAAAUUCCUCAUCCAAAGAGAAGCUGAAAAGCGGCAUGAAAAUGUUACAAGGCUGGAGCCCAGGUGCUAAGUUGGUGUUAAGAAAGCAAAGCUGCUCAGAGUUAACAGCACUUCCGAAAGCAGAUGAAAAGGUGUAUGUUGUAAUAGACCCUUCAGAGGGUGAACCUCAGAUGCUCAAACAACAUCAUGCUCAAUCAGGGCACCAGGGAAUGGACAAGACAGGCUCUCCGUAGCCCUGGGGAUAUUUUAUGCACAAAACUUUUCAGAUAACAGUGCAAGAAAUUAGCUCACCUUGCCAUUGUGCCUAAUGCUUAGUUGAUUGCUUUCACAGGCAAUCACUGGCUGAAUCCCUGGAGCUUUGCUAAGAAUUAAGAAUAAUUAUAAGGGAAAGAAGCAUCACCUUGGCAACAUUCCAGUGGCGCAGGUGCAGAGCAGAAGAAAAACAUGUUUUUGGGAUAUCACAGAAGUGUCUCCCUGGUGUCGACUUGGCCAUUAACGGACAAAGCACUUUCGUAAAAUUGGGGACCAAUGUAUUAUUUUAUGAUAUAUGUGAAUGUGUUUG